rnacentral:rRNA from 1 species
UCUGGGCGUAAGCGCGCGCAGGCGGCUGUGCAAGAUCGAUGUGAAACCCGGGCUCAACCUGGGAAUUGCCUUGUGUGACUGCUUGGCUAGAGUGUGGAAAGGGGGGUAGAAUUCCGCGUGUAGCAGUGAAAUGCGUAGAUAUGUGGAGGAACACCGAUGGCGAAGGCAGCCCCCUGGACUAACACUGACGCUCAUGCGCGAAAGCGUGGGGAGCAAACAGGAUUAGAUACCCUGGUAGUCCACGCCCUAAACGAUGUCAACUAGGUGUCGGGGAUUCUUUUCCUUAGGAAGGCACCUAACGCGUGUUAGUUGAUCGCCUGGGGAGUACCGGCGCUAAAUGUU